rnacentral:rRNA from 1 species
UACAGAGGUGGCAAGCGUUGUUCGGAAUUACUGGGCGUAAAGGGCGCGUAGGCGGUCCCGUCAGUCCCUUGUGAAAUCCCUCGGCUCAACUGAGGAACUGCACGGGAAACUGCCUGGCUUGAGUUCGGGAGAGGGAAGCGGAAUUCCGGGUGUAGCGGUGAAAUGCGUAGAUAUACGGAGGAACACCAGCGGCGAAGGCGGGUAGCUGGGCCAACACUGACGCUGAGACGCGAAAGCUAGGGGAGCAAACGGG